UAUGGUGGUGAUAGCGACGGUGUUCCACCUCUUCCCAUCCCGAACAGAGAAGUUAAGCCCGUCAUCGCCGAUGGUACUGCAAUGCAAUGCGGGAGAGUAGGCAGCCGCCUUUU
rnacentral:rRNA from 1 species